ensembl:lncRNA
CGGAUUACUGCCGUUGCCAGGGCGAGUCAGCCCAGCAACCGACAACCGACUGUUAACGUUUCCUUCCCUUAUUAACGAAAUGUCGACUGUGUGUCUUCCUUUUUUUUCUGUUCUUUUUUUUUUGUUUCCUUUAUCUUUUGCUCCUUGUUAAAACACACCGAUUCGAGCGAAUCGAUCGGCGUAAAAGACUUUGCUGUCGUGUCACCGAGUAAAGCGAGCCUCUCCCAGUUAUGGCGCAGCAACAUUUUACCGCACGGCGCUGCCCUUUGUCUGUAUAGAAGCCAUUUUGAGACAAGAGAACUGCAGAGAAAGCAAAGCAAAAGGGUAGACUGCUAGUCACCAAAAGGGUCUCUUGGAUAAAGGGAAGCAGUGAAAUUUACAAGAUUUCUCCCCAUGAGACUCCUUUUCCUCGUUUUAACACUUGGAUUACAUGUUUUUUGAAUGCAGACUCUCAGUUAGAAAUGCCGAAAUUAAAGAAGUUAUUGCCUACUUCACUGCAAUGCUGUCUUCAAGGAGAGAGAGAGAGAGAGAGGGGAUGGUUUGCAUAUUGCCCACACAGACAUGAUGCCUGAAGAUGCAUAUUCGCCGGCUCGCAGGAGAUGCUCUGCCACUCCUUGUUAAUGCCACUGUUAGAGGAUCCGAAGAUGGAGCUGAAAACAUUCCUCCUGCCCCUGCGUUUAGGCCUGUUAACUGCAUUUCACCAAAGUGCCGAGGAGGAGUGAUCUACAACACACAAAGCCACCACGGUGUUAAGCAUUGCUGUGUUUAAAGCCAUUAAUCAAAGCAAUUGUGUUAUCAAUCAGCAGCCGAAAGUCCAGGCAGCACAAUCAACUAUUUUGCAAAAGGCCAUUAAUUAUCCAUGGCCUGCUUUGUCAUUUCGAGGAGCAGUGGCAUAUAACCUGGACUGCUCGAUGUAUAUUUACAGAAACACAACGACUAUUAUAUGGGUGUGCCAUGACCUAGUUAAGACAAAGAUGGUUUCCAGGCAGAGGAAAAAAGGCUCAAGAUGUCACAGGGUAUUACAUCCAGUACAUUCUCUUCCUUCUUCUCAAUCCUUUAAAAGGAGGAAUCAUAGUGUUUAUCAUAGUCCGUGAGAGACGAGGAAAUCAAGUGUAAAGAUCCCUUUUUGGAACAAAGGAAACCCAUAUAGGCCAUUGAGUCCUGUUUCAGGAAAAUGGCUGCCGGGAGCGCUCGGCCCCCUCUCUCUGCUCUCUGUUGAAGGACUCGUGCGCCGUGCUUCUAAUAGCAGACGGCUCCUCUGCUGCUGCGCUCUGAUUGGCCCGCCGAGCCGCUGCUGUUAACCAGCCAAUUGCCCGAGCACUGCAAAACCCAGGCAAUGUCAAAC